UUCUAUGGUAAUACCAACCUGACUGAAUGUGACUAAUCUCAUCUGAUCUUGGAAGCUAAGUAGGGCUAUGUAUGCUUAAUACUUGGAUGGAAGACUGCCUGGGAAAAUCCACUACUGCAGGCU
rnacentral:rRNA from 1 species